rnacentral:lncRNA from 1 species
UUCUCAGUACUCGACGUGGAUCUAAGUGAGACCCACGGUCAAAUUUGUGAGAAUUACACCUUACAACAGCUGUAAGGUAGAAAGUUAUUGAUAAUAAUAAUAGUAAUCCUCAAUAAAUUCUAUCAUUAUCAUAUCAAUAAGAAAAGUCAAUAGGAAAUUUGUAUAUAUGCAGGCGGAGCGCCCGAAUCUGACUUUUGAAGCAAUUGGCAAUUCUAUUUACUUAAAAGAAUUUCAUCUUAAAGAAUUAUUCUAUUUGGAACACCAGAGCCCCUCCACUUCCCAUGGCAAACAGUACUGAAGGUUCCGGAACUCAAUUCUCGCAGGCCUUGAAAGUUAAUAUUCUUUAUAAUCUGCCAAAGUGAUGAAGUGAUGGUGAUGGUGAGGAUGGAUUUGGUGGUCACGAAGAUCUAUGGGUGGUGGUAAACUGGCAAUGAUAUGUUGGUGAUGGUCAGGGGUGGAGCACAACUGAAAAUUCUAGAGGAGCCAAUUUUUUUCUUUUGAGAUAUUGAUUAGUUUUUAUUGGUGUUCUCAUUAUUGUUGUGCUGAGACGGUCAUAAAUUUGGGAUAUUGGUUGCAUAGCUUCCAAUUCUUGGGAUUUGUUACUUAGCAUGGGCUUAGUGGAACUGAAAAAUAACUUUAUCAUCCAAUAUAUAACAUUUGUAUAUUAAUUGUGCAGGACAGACUUUUUACACUAAUUUUUCAUAUUUUAUUUGAAAACUCCAAAAAAUUUUAAAAUUCUACAGGUGCCAUGGUAUCCUUACCUAACCUUAUAUACCCUUCGUCCUUGGUGAUGUGAUGCUUGAG